UACGAAGGGGGCUAGCGUUGUUCGGAUUUACUGGGCGUAAAGCGCACGUAGGCGGAUAUUUAAGUCAGGGGUGAAAUCCCGGGGCUCAACCCCGGAACUGCCUUUGAUACUGGGUAUCUUUGAGUCCGGAAGAGGUGAGUGGAAUUCCGAGUGUAGAGGCGAAAUUCGUAGAUAUUCGGAGGAACACCAGUGGCGAAGGCGGCUCACUGGUCCGGUACUGACGCUGAGGUGCGAAAGCGUGGGGAGCAAACAGG
rnacentral:rRNA from 1 species